rnacentral:rRNA from 1 species
GACGAACGCUGGCGGCGUGCUUAACACAUGCAAGUCGAACGGAAAGGCCCUGCUUUUGUGGGGUGCUCGAGUGGCGAACGGGUGAGUAACACGUGAGUAACCUGCCCUUGACUUUGGGAUAACUUCAGGAAACUGGGGCUAAUACCGGAUAGGAGCUCCUGCUGCAUGGUGGGGGUUGGAAAGUUUCGGCGGUUGGGGAUGGACUCGCGGCUUAUCAGCUUGUUGGUGGGGUAGUGGCUUACCAAGGCUUUGACGGGUAGCCGGCCUGAGAGGGUGACCGGCCACAUUGGGACUGAGAUACGGCCCGGACUCCUACGGGAGGCAGCAGUGGGGAAUAUUGCACAAUGGGCGGAAGCCUGAUGCAGCAACGCCGCGUGCGGGAUGACGGCCUUCGGGUUGUAAACCGCUUUCGCCUGUGACGAAGCGUGAGUGACGGUAAUGGGCAAAGAAGCACCGGCUAACUACGUG